GAAGAAACCUGGUAUGGCUAUUGAGACUUAUUUGUUUGCCAUGUUUGAUGAAAAUCAGAAGAAUGGUGCAUCAACUGAACAACAUUUUGGUCUCUUUAAUCCUGAUAAAUCGCCUAAAUAUCAAAUAAAUUUCAAUUAGAUAAAUUAAUGGAUGAUUUUAUGUUUGCCAUGUUUGAUGAAAAUCAGAAGAAUGGUGCAUCAACUGAACAACAUUUUGGUCUCUUUAAUCCUGAUAAAUCGCCUAAAUAUCAAAUAAAUUUCAAUUAGAUAAAUUAAUGGAUGAUUUUUACAAAAAAUAUAUAUGUAGCUAAGUAUUGCAUUCUAUGAAUAAUUGUGCCAGAGUGCACAUGACGUUGUUGUUGUUAGCAUGUUACUAUUUAUAUAAUGAAAGGUGAUAUACUUGUUUAAUUCUCACUUUCUAUUAUGGUCUGUGUUAGAUAGUAUGCUGUAAAACAUCAAAAUUGAUUUUUUUCUCAUAUUCUUAUGUCAAAUUUGAGUUUGUUCGGAAGAGAUAAAAAACAAUUUUUGCAUUAGAUAAACAUAUUUUCAUGUGUCAGAUAUUAUAUAUGGAUUUUCUAUCGGAAUUUUCUUACUUAACCGUCCUUCACACACAAGUACGGAAGAAGGGAGCAGUGAUUAAACAAGGUAGACGAUAAUCCUAUUUUAGGUGAGACUUGGAAAUACAAGUCCUUCUGGCUAAAUUUGAAAAGAGGAGUCUCUUAGACGAAAUUUAAAUAAUCAAGUCCCUUAGACGAGUGCUUUAAAUGAGACUUAAAAAGAUGAGUCCCUCAAACGAGACUUAGAUAAUCGAGUCUCUUAUGCGAUACCUUUUUAGGCGAUUCUCACAGACGAGACUUAGACAAUCGAGUCCGCUCAGGAGAAACUUAGAUAGUUGAGUCCCCUCAUGUGAGUGCCCUAAGAAAGAGUCGUUCGGAUUCUAGAGGCACGUGAAGCAUUUAAUACUUCAUAAUGAUGAGGUAAUUGAUGGUGACGUGAUGUGACAGGAAGGUCAUUGGUACAAAUCUAAGUCAACAUAUGUAGUUAAAGCGGAUACAAUAUUUAAACUGUGAGGUUUCCCCAAAAACAAAACCCUUGCAGUUUAAAUAGUGUAUCAGUUUUUAACUACAUAUGCUAAUCCAGAUUUAUACCAAUGACCUUGCUGUUAUACCACGUCACCAGAAUUUAACAUUUUUUUGGCAGAAAUUGACUAAAGGGACCAAAUAUAGUAACAAAAGUGAAGUUAAUGGACUAACUUGUAACAAUUUUUUAAUUAAGGGACUAAAGUGGAACAUUAAAUUAAGUUAAGGGACUUGUUCACUAAUUAUGCCAAACAAACAAUAAUCAAACAUAAAGGGGAUGCAGGAAGUGCAAUGCCCAAGGUGCACAGGACCCAAGGGACGCUAGUCCAGUCUAAUGGGAAGCUAAGAGAGUCAAAAGAGGUUGACUCAUCUCAUGCGUUGGAUUCAUUGUCUGAUGAUCCAAAGGCAUAGAAAACGAGGGCGCAUACAAUAUGGCCGGGGUUCCCACAUGGGACCCCAGGUCAAAGGCAAGAGUAUGCAUAUAUGAAGGUUAAUACACCAGUCAUGUGCCAUAAUUCAACUCUAUGAAUUAUCCACCAAUGGUACAUAUACACAUUCAUAACAAUAUAUCAUUCACAAUCUACCAAUGGUACAUAUACACAUUCAUAACAAUAUAUCAUUCACAAUCCAACAAUGGUACAUAUACACAUUCAUAACAAUCUAUCAUUCACAAUCUACACAUUCAUAACAAUCUAUCAUUCACAAUCCAACAAUGGUACAUAUACACAUUCAUAAUAAUAAAUCAUUCACAAUCCACCAAUGGUACAUAUACACAUUCAUAACAAAUACACCAUUCACAUAAUAUGCAAUUAAGAUCAUCUCUACCAUCUUAACAUUCAUAACAAAUACACCAUUCACAUAAUAUCUAUUAGAGUCACCUUUCUAAUGCUUUAAACCCCAACCCAAAAUGAUUAACGAGUUGAAAGUUAUGAAUAACACCGUGCACUAAGGCGUUACUAAAAAGUUGUUGUUUUUCUAAAUUUUCCAACAUAAUUUUCAUCUUCUUCAACCCCAAAAACGUCCAUGAAAUAAUCACCAAAAUUAUUUUAUUCCUGAAACAAAGUUAUAGCCUUCUGUUUCAGCUAUCUAACGCUUCAAAAGGCACUCGAUUUGGACUUACGGAUCAAAAGUUAUGACCAAAAUGAUUCCGACCGAAAAACAUAAAAAGGGAUCGCGAUUGCAACGGACAAAAUGCAGAAUUUUCCGCGGUUUUCAUCGUUGGAGGACUUCCGGACCUCCGAUUUCAAUUCCGUAAAAAGCUACACGUUCAGAAAAUUAUAACUCAUACAUUACUCUAAGUAUAUAACAUUAAUUUCCAGUUUUAACACAAUUAAAUCAUCACAAAUCAAGAAUACUCAUCAACACCUAACAAUCCUAAAAUCAUGCAAAUUAAGGAUUUUAACCUAAACAUACAUCUACCCAUUGACCCAAUCAUACUAACCCAUAAUAAUAAGGAUUUCCCCCUUACCUCUUCAAUUUUCUGGAACCCUAGCUUUUCUCUUUACUUUUCCUCUCCUCUUUCUCUAUUACCUUCAAUGAUCAAAUGAAUCCUAAUUCUCACUCUCCUCACCUCUUACUAUUUAUAUUAGUAUUCUCUUUAGGCUUAAGUCAUUAUACUUCUAAUUUAAUUAAUAGGCCCAAUAAAACCUAAUAUUUAAAUAUCUCUAUUUAAUUCAAAUAAAUUAAACUAACACCAUAUAUCCACCAAGUUAAUUAAUUCAAUUAUUCAUGAUAUCUCCUAUCAACUAAAUAAUUAAUUAACACACCAAAUUACACUUUUUCAGACAAACAUAAGUGAUCCAGCAAUUAAGAGCCCAUGGAUAACCAUGGAUACAAAGGGUGCCAACACCUUCCCUUUGUAUAAUGUACCUCCCGAACCCAAAAUCUAAUUAAGGUCUUUUCUGUUCUUUUCCACCUUUCCUUAUGGGAUAAAAGAAAAGUCGGUGGCGACUCUUGCUAACCGCGACAUUUGCUUUCCAAAGCAAAAACACACCAAAGUCAGUUCACCGUAUGACAUCUCCCUUCAUAUAUUUCUUAAGGUGUCCUUCCUGUAUUAGUCUUUCAAUUCCAUUUUUGAGCUAUUAGCAAUCUUCAGUAUGAUGUCCUUUGACUAUAUGGGACUAACACCACCUCCCUAGUUUGGAACCCGUCACAUUCUCCUUAGGAGCAGACGGGGUAAGGAUGUCGUGCAGGUGGAGAAUAUCCUGCCAGAUCUUCUCGUGGCGAGUAUUUAGAAGCGUAAAGUUCUUGUCGCCUUACCUAUUCUUUUUAACAUAAACUUGUCAUUUAUGACUGAGGUGUAAUUGCUCUUCCUUUGGUGAUAUGAGCCUUCAACUUUGGGAACAUGCUCCUUGACAUUGUGCGCCUUCUUUAUAGCAUUGUUCUCCUUGCUCUUUAUGUAGAACUCUGCUCUGGUGAUCACUUAUGCCAACAAAAGUGUCGGCUUCUGGGAGAGGGACUUGUUAAAGUGUACCGCCUUGAGUCCAUUUUGGAAUGCCCCUACAAACAUUUCUUAGUUUUGUGGGACGACCCUAAUGGUGGCCUCGUUAAUGCGGGCAAGGUAGUCCCUCAGUGACUCUACCGGACCUUGGCGCAUGUUAAACAGGCUCGUAGUGGACAUAUCUCUGCGGUGGCUUGCGGCAAACCGGUGUAUUAGCUUCUUUACUAGUUCAUGGUAGUUGUUGAUGGAGACACGAGAUAAACUCAUAUACCAUCGAAGAGCGGCGUCCCUAAAAGUGCCAAAUAACAAUUUCACUUCAGAGAGUCAGACACUCUUAUGAUGACCAUCUGUAUACUAAUGGAGGCGGAAAAGCUCACAAAUAUAACACUUCAAUGAUUAAAAAAACAAAUAAAAUAUAAAAUAAAACCCGAUCUAAUAUCUUAAAUUAGAAUUUGUAUUCCUCAUAAUUUUUCAUAUUUUGUGCAGAAGCACCGAUCUAAUAUCUUAAAUUAGAAUUUGUAUUCCUCAUAAUUUUUCAUAUUUUGUGCAGAAGCAAAAUAGACACAAACAUGUCUAUAAAUUAAAAUUAGAACAUGUUAAUUUAUAUAGGAAUAUUAAAUUCAUGAUAAAAAUGGAGAGAAAAGAUAAUACAACCAUAAUAUGGAUUAUGACCGCGUCAACUUCGAGUGUUGAACCAUGCUAUGCUAAACUUUUAACACAUAAGGCUGAGGUAGCUGGUGUAAUUACAAUGGUCCACAACAAGAGAACUAAAGGAGUUCAAUGCUUACGAAGCAAACAGGUUACCACAGUCUGAUAACGAAAUUGGAGUCCACUAUGUCACAUGGACCACCUUAUUGUUUCUAGCGACCGACGAUAUUGACACUCCAAUAUAAAUAUCAUUGAAAAUUUUAACGUUUCAAUAGAAACCGCAACAUGAGUAAACGCAACUGGCAGAUUACAUACGCCAUGCGACUUGUCAAAGCCAUCGGUGUGGCGUUGUGAUAUCCUCAUUUGCAGGGAAUUCCAUAAAUUUCAAAAUGUAUAUAUUUUUUUCCAUGGAGUGAUUGACGGGGAAAAUAAUUUCAUUAACAUAUAGUGACCCAAUUGCCAAAACUAUGCCUAUAUAUAGGUUGCAAACUUAUAGUUUUUAUAUAAUCAAAAACAAACACAACCAUGUCUAUCACAUUGGUGCUUAUUGGAGUAUUGUUAUCUUCUACUGCAGUAGAAUUUACGGGUCUAUUACUAUUUCUUUCAUUUUUUAUGAAACAUUUAUUUAUCAAACUUUUGGUACAUUUGGUAUUUGGUCCAAUUAUUAAUAUGAAUUUAUAUUAAACAUGCAGGUGCACAAUCCGUAGGUGUUUGUUAUGGAGGAUUUGGAAAUAAUCUCCCAACAAGGCAAGCAGUGAUAGAUUUAUACAAAUCAAAUGGAAUUGGUAAAAUCCGCUUAUACAAUCCAGAUGAUGCAGCACUUCAAGCCCUAAAAAAUUCAAACAUAGAGGUAAUCCUCGGCGUCCCGAACGACGUUCUUAAAUCACUCACGAACGCUCAGGCCGCCGCUGAUUGGGUCAACAAAAACGUAAAACCGUAUUAUCCAAGUGUGAAAAUCAAAUACAUUGCAGUCGGGAAUGAGAUUCACGCAGAUUCGCCCGAAGCAAGUUCGGUUCUUCCCGCAUUGCAAAACAUUCAAAACGCGAUAUCUUCGUCCAAUUUAGGCCAGAUUAAAGUGUCUACCGCGAUAGACACAAUUCUAAUUGGAAAAUCUUACCCGCCAAACGAUGGCGCUUUUAGCGACGGUUCAGUUGGUUACAUAAGGCCUAUUGUUAACUUUUUAGUUAGCAACGGCUCACCACUUCUUGCUAAUGUGUAUCCUUAUUUCUCAUAUGUUAAUAACCAACAAAGCAUUGGUCUUGACUAUGCUUUGUUUACAAAACAAGGGAAGAAUGAAGUUGGUUACCAAAAUUUAUUUGAUGCAAUUUUGGAUUCAAUUUAUGCUGCUCUUGAAAAAGUAGGGGGUUCAAAUGUGAAGAUUGUUGUGUCUGAAAGUGGGUGGCCAUCUGAAGGUGGAACUGGAGCUAGUGCUGGAAAUGCUGCAACAUAUUAUGGGAAUUUGAUUAGGCAUGCUAAGGGUGGGACUCCUAAGAGGCCUAAUGGACCUAUUGAGACUUAUCUUUUUGCUAUGUUUGAUGAAAAUCAGAAGCCAGGUCCUGAAAUUGAGAGACACUUUGGACUCUUUAGGCCUGAUAAAUCACCAAAGUAUCAACUAAGUUUCAAUUGAGAUAUACUAGUGAUUGGUGGUUAUGCAUAAUAAAUAAACUAAAUGUAACUUGUAAUAAAAAGGGUACCUAGUGCUCAUAUGGUUACUUUUAGAUAUUUACACUAAUGAAUAAUGAUAACAAAUUCUGUUGUGUACUCACACUUGUAUGUUUUCUCUACCUAUUAGUUAUUUUUUUUACUAAAAAUAAGGUAUUAAUUAGUUGGAAUUGGUGGGUUGUGUCGGAAACAACUCAACUUUUUUUAGUUAAAAUUUAAAAAGAUGAAGCUGUGAAGAAACUCAUAAGAUUAAAUUAAUAAUACAAAAUGGUAAAAUACUUAUACAAAUGAAAAAAUUAAAGUGAUUUGAAUAUAUAUAUAUAUAUAUAUAUAUAUAUAUAUAUAUAUAUAUAUAUAUAUAUAUAUAUAUAUAUAUAUAUAUAUAUAUAUAUAUAUAUAUAUAUANNNNNNNNNNNNNNNNNNNNNNNNNNNNNNNNNNNNNNNNNNNNNNNNNNNNNNNNNNNNNNNNNNNNNNNNNNNNNNNNNNNNNNNNNNNNNNNNNNNNNNNNNNNNNNNNNNNNNNNNNNNNNNNNNNNNNNNNNNNNNNNNNNNNNNNNNNNNNNNNNNNNNNNNNNNNNNNNNNNNNNNNNNNNNNNNNNNNNNNNNNNNNNNNNNNNNNNNNNNNNNNNNNNNNNNNNNNNNNNNNNNNNNNNNNNNNNNNNNNNNNNNNNNNNNNNNNNNNNNNNNNNNNNNNNNNNNNNNNNNNNNNNNNNNNNNNNNNNNNNNNNNNNNNNNNNNNNNNNNNNNNNNNNNNNNNNNNNNNNNNNNNNNNNNNNNNNNNNNNNNNNNNNNNNNNNNNNNNNNNNNNNNNNNNNNNNNNNNNNNNNNNNNNNNNNNNNNNNNNNNNNNNNNNNNNNNNNNNNNNNNNNNNNNNNNNNNNNNNNGAAGAGAGAUUAGAAUGAACAAAUUAAAGUGAUUGAAUAUAUCAUAUAAUGAUAUAAUAUAUAACUAUAUAUAGUAUAUAUAUAUAUAUAUAUAUAUAUAUAUAUAUAUAUAUAAAAGUGGAUCUAUAUCAUCGACUCUCAAGUUGUUGGUUGAGUAUGUAAUGAUGAGACAAAACAAUGCCGUACUUUGAUGGUGAAAUUACAAAAGAAAAAAAAUUAUCUAUGUAAAUAACACUUACUUAAAUUAAAAGAGAAAAAAAUUGUGAUUUUAUGUUUGAAUAAAUUUUAAUGAUUGACUCAACAAACAAGAUCCGAUAUUCUAAGCAUCAUCAAAGAAUGAAUUUGAAUUAAAAAGCACGAUAUUUUUCAAAUUAUGGAUGAUCAAAGGACGAGUAAAGUAGGGUUAUAUGUAACUCAAACUCGACCCUAACACUAGAUCGGGUCAAUUAUAUAGACCCAAACUAGACUAUAAACUCGAUAAAUCUCUAUGCGAUACGAGUCUAAUAAGGACGAGACAUGAUAAAGACAAGACCGAAUUGAUUCCAAGGCAAGUCACAUAUUCACAAAUAUUAUUUUUGAAAAAUAGUUUCAUUUUUUUUAUAGUCUAUUGUAGUGUUACAUUUGUGAAAAUCCCCAAAUAAGAGUGAUGUGAGGGUUCCCACCUAAUGAAGUGACACACGACACUGGAGAAGUUAUCCCUCCAUAUAAGACAUGUGUGCAAUGCCAUUAUCCUUCCAUCAGGUAUGCAGACUGAGUUGUACCAUGACCUCUUGAAUAAUAGGUAGUCAACAACAUCCCUCUGUCAAAGAGGAGCAGUUACCACCUCCUAGAAUUUUCUAAGUUUUAGGCCAAAAGCCUAUAUAAAUACCACUCCUCAAAUGGGAUAAAGGACAUAUGAUAACUUACUCAUAAUACUAUAAAUAUAAUGCUUACAUACAGAGUCUCUCACCUCACAUGAGUAGGUCCUUUAAACCACCGUAAACACCCUACACUAUUUUUCAUGAGUUUAGACAAAAUAAACUUGAUCUUCUCAUCCACCACAUUAAAGAUAAAUUUUCCACACUUAAUGUCUAAUACGGUUGCAGCAGUGGCGAGGAAAGGUCUACCUAAAAUAAUAAGGAUUUAGGAAUCCUCCUCCAUUUCCAUGAUGAAAAAAUCGAUGGGGGUAUGGACAAGUAUCCUAUCCUUAUGAGAACAUCUUCCAAUAUUUCUACCAUAUAUUUUGUGGAUCGGUCGGCUAAUUGAAAGGAUAUAUUUGUGGAUUGCAUCUCAACGAGGUUAAUAUUUUCUAAAAACUGUUAGGGCAUUAGGAUAACACUAGCCAUUAUAUCACAUCUCUCUCUCUCUCAUACAUAUACACAACUUAUGGUUCCAAUAACAGAAGGAAUUGAAAAACCCGUCGGAUCUUUUAGCUUAUGUAGUAAUGUAUUUAAACUAUUGAGUUUCACUCUUAUGCAAGUGUCAUUGUUUUCUUAUCUUCCAAAAUUUAUUUGUUUGACAUAAUCUCUUUAAGUAAUUUGGCAUAUAAUGGUAUCUAAGAUAGAGCCUUUAUGAAGGAAAUAUUGAUAUAUAGAUUUUUUUACCAACUUUACAAAUUUCUUAAUGCUUUCUUCUAUUUUUUCUUUAUAAAUAAGGGAUUAAUUGUUUAUAAGACGUAUGAGUAACAUAUGAUUUCUCUUUUCCUUCUUCCACAAUCUCAUUUGUGGGUUGGAACUUUUCACUCUCCUCGCCUUUUCUCUUAUCCUUUCACUAGUGUCAUGUAGUGAUUUUUUAUUCCUUAAUGUGACAACAUUCAAAUGUAUCCCGAAAUGUUCUAGAAAGAGUAGAUGAUGAUACUUGUUGUUUUUCUACUCGAGAGAUUUGAGUCUUCAAGAUUUUGUUAUGUAUGGUCAUUAGAUCAAAUUUAGACGCUAAUUGUCUAAGAAUUUCAUUGAUAUGCAUGUUUUGGUUUUUAAAUUCCUCAUUUUUCUUAGCUUGGGCCAUGACAAAUUCUCCAUCAUGAUUGAUUGUUAUCUUUAAAUCUCAAUCUUAACUAAUUCACUUUUAUUGUUUGAAUAUGGAUUAUUAUAUUCAAAAGGGCUUGUAUGCUUAUUGCUAUUGUGGCAGGAAGUUAAUGUUAAGAGUCCCACAUCGGACAAUAUAUGAUCUGAACAUGUGUUUAUAAAUGGAGGCAAUCACACAUUCUUAACGGUUAAUGGUACAUCGAUUGAUUAUGAAUUGACAGUUGGUUAAGUUAUGAAAGUGUUUGUUUGUUAAGAUUAUUCAGGAUUGAGUCUAUUUAUGUAAUUUUAUCUAUUUAGAUUGAUUAUACUUUUAUUUAGACUAAUUGAAUAAUGCUCCGGUCUUUGUAUUUCUCCGUUUUUGUUUAAUACAUCUUUUUCUUUAAAAAAGUACUAGCUUUAUUAUAGAUAGUGUUUGUAAAAUAUAUAAUAAAUUUUAAUAAAAUAUAUAAUAAAUGUUUGUAAGUUUUAAUAUAGAGAAUUUUAUUAUAAGUUUUAGUAAAAUAUAUUAAUUAUAAAAAUUUAAUAUAAAAAUUAUAUAUUAUAAUUAAAAUUAAACAGCAUAAAUAUUAUUUUUUUAGCACAACACUUAGACAUUUUUAACGUAAUUGAAUGAAAUAAGUAUGGAUAUUAUAGUUUGAUUUUAAAUAUAUAUACCGAAUUGUUAGACUUAACUUUUAUAUAUUUUAAAUAUUUUAAGUCGGUAUAAUUUUCUUAUUUGAUUUAGUUUUAUUUUAAAAAUAUUUAUUGAAAAUAAAUAUUUAUCUUAAGUUUUUUUUAUGUAUUAAUUCUUAACAAAUUUUAUUAUGUAAUUUUUAUGUAUUUAUUAAUAAAAUAUUUUGUUAUAUGUUUUUUAUUAACUAAUAGAAAAUGCGGGUGAUGUAUUUUUUGAUGUUACAUAAUAAUAAUAAUAAUAAUAAUAAUAAUAAUAAUAAUAAUAAUAAUAUAAUAAUAAUAAUAAUAAUAAUAAUAAUAAUAAUAAUAAUAAUAAUAAUAAUAAUAUUGUGUCAUAUCAUGUAUUAUUGACAAUCUUGUGUUUGGUAUUAUUGAUAUUUAUUAUUAACAAAUAUUUUUCCGGCACUUUUUGUAUCGUUGACAUAUAUUUACCCCAUGUAUUAUAAUACUUAAUAGUGCUAUUAAUUAAUUAAUAUUUUCAUUAACAAAUUUUGUCAACUAUAUUUUAUUUAUAUAUAUCUUGUACUUUUUAUAUUUAUCGUCUAUUUUUUUUUAAUUAUAUCAAUGUCUUUUUAAAUUUAUAAAAAUACCUAUAUAUAUAUCUCAUGUAUGUGUUUUAUCAAAAAUGGAAUUCAUAUAUUAUAACUAUUCUUUAUCUUAUAUAAAAAUUAUUUAAAAAAUAUUAAAUUUAACUAAUUUAUUAAAGAUAAAGUACGUGUCCAGUGUACAUUUCAAUAGUUUUUAGUUGAUUUAUUUUAUAAAAAAUAACGUGAAAAUUUGUAAAAAACUAUAGAUAGUGUAAUAAAAUUGUUGUUUAUAAUUAUAAAUAAACUUUACUUUUAAUUAAUUAUUUAAAGACAAAUACUAUAUGAUUUUAAUUAUAAAUAAUUAUUUUUAUUUUAUUGAAGAUAUUAGAAAACAUAAAAUUAGGCUAAUCAAAUAUAAUACCCAAAGAUUGAGUUCUUGAAGAAUGUAUGGGUCUUGUGAGGGUGUUUUUCUCAAUGUUUCACAUUUAAAUAAUAUGUUAGACAAUUUUCAGUGGUGUUACUCAUAUUUUAGUUCUUUGUGUGACUCAUUAGACAUAUUAUUUAGAAACAACACAUUCAUUUUUCAUUAUGCAAACCUAAAGAAUUUCCCAAAUUUUUACCUCAUAUAUUAAGAUAUUAUUCAUACAUUUUAUUUUAAUUAAAAAUAUUAAUUUAAGUAUUAUGAUUAAAAAAGAAGAAAUAAAUACAUUAACUUAUUUGACAGUGAAUUGUUAAAAAGAGAAGAAUAAAUACAACAAACUAUUUAAUUUAUUAUUUGGCAAAUGAAUGACACAUUGCUUCACAAUGCAAUGGUUUUUUAUUAUGGAAAACUCUUGUUCAUUUUAAAGAUUUUUUUUUAAAUAACCAAUUUUUUUAAANUUUAUUUUAUAAAAAAUAACGUGAAAAUUUGUAAAAAACUAUAGAUAGUGUAAUAAAAUUGUUGUUUAUAAUUAUAAAUAAACUUUACUUUUAAUUAAUUAUUUAAAGACAAAUACUAUAUGAUUUUAAUUAUAAAUAAUUAUUUUUAUUUUAUUGAAGAUAUUAGAAAACAUAAAAUUAGGCUAAUCAAAUAUAAUACCCAAAGAUUGAGUUCUUGAAGAAUGUAUGGGUCUUGUGAGGGUGUUUUUCUCAAUGUUUCACAUUUAAAUAAUAUGUUAGACAAUUUUCAGUGGUGUUACUCAUAUUUUAGUUCUUUGUGUGACUCAUUAGACAUAUUAUUUAGAAACAACACAUUCAUUUUUCAUUAUGCAAACCUAAAGAAUUUCCCAAAUUUUUACCUCAUAUAUUAAGAUAUUAUUCAUACAUUUUAUUUUAAUUAAAAAUAUUAAUUUAAGUAUUAUGAUUAAAAAAGAAGAAAUAAAUACAUUAACUUAUUUGACAGUGAAUUGUUAAAAAGAGAAGAAUAAAUACAACAAACUAUUUAAUUUAUUAUUUGGCAAAUGAAUGACACAUUGCUUCACAAUGCAAUGGUUUUUUAUUAUGGAAAACUCUUGUUCAUUUUAAAGAUUUUUUUUUAAAUAACCAAUUUUUUUAAAUAAAAUUUUAAAAUAAUCAAAAUUUAAAAAAAUAUAUUAAAAUAUUUUUUUUCUACGGAUACGCCAGUUGAACUGGUACAUCCAACUAACCUACAUAGGAGGUGCCAAGGUUGUGGGCGAAUGCAUGCAAAGCCAAUGCAUAUAGGUGUCACGUGCAUGCCUUGAUGCCACAUGUAUUGGCGCAUGCAUACACUAUAUAGUGUAUGCGCCAAUGCAUGUGGCGCAUGCUCCUUUUAUAUAUAUAUAUAUAUAUAUAUAUAUAUAUAGAUAUUUUAAUGUUAUAAUUAUAAUUAAUUAAAUGAAUAUUGAAAUAAAUUAUAUUAUUAAUUACAAAAAUUANNNNNNNNNNNNNNNNNNNNNNNNNACCGUAGUAUUUGUCCCUUUGUUAUAUCGUGGGGCUGAUUUUUGUUUUUAAAUUAAUAGUCAAAUGUUUUUGAAGUUACUAAAAUACUAAGAGCUGAUACGGGAUCUCCAUGAUGCUGUGUUUAUAAGACGGGAGAUUCUAUAUUAUAACUAUUCUUAAUUUACAUAAAAUAUUUAAAAAUAUUUAAAUUUAAACUAAUUUAUUAAGAUAAGUAGUGUGGUGUACAUUUAAUAGUUUUAGUUGAUUUAUUUUAUAAAAAUACGGAAAAUUUGUAAAAUAUAGAUAGUGUAAUAAAUUUGUUGUUUUAAUUAUAAUAACUAACUUUUAAUUAAUAUUUAAAGACAAUAUAUUUAUGAUAAAUAAUAUUUUAUUAUUGAAGAUAUUGAAAACAUAAAAUUAGGCUAAUCAAUAUAAUCCAAGAUUGAGUUGUUGAUGAUGUAUGGAUCUUGUGAGGGUGUUUUUCUAAAUGUUCACAUUUAAAUAAUAUGUUAGACAAUUUUCAGUGGUGUUCCCAUUUUAGUUCUUUGUGGACUCAUUAACAUAUUAUUAGAACAACACAUUCAUUUUCAUUAUGCAAACCUAAAGAAUUCCCAAAUUUUACCUCAUAUAUUAAGAUAUUAUUCAUAAUUUUAUUUUAAUUAAAAAUAUAAUUUAAGUAUUAUGAUUAAAAAAGAUAAAUACAUUAACUUAUUAUCAGUGAUUGUAAAAAGAGAAUAAAAUACAACAAACUAUUAAUUUAUUAUUGGCAAAAUGACACAUUGCUUCACAAUGCAAUGGUUUUUAUUAUGGAAAACUCUAGUGUCAUUUUAAAGAUUUUUAAAAUAACUAAUUUUUUUAAAUAAAAUUUCAAAAUAAUCAAAAUUUUAAAAAUAUAUAAAAAAUUUUUUUUACGCGAGUUGAAUUGAACAAAUCAUAACCUACAUAGGAGGCGCCAAGGUUGUGGGAAUGCAUGCAAAGUCAAUGCAUGCUUUGAUGCCACAUGUAUUGGUGCAUGCAUACACUACAUAGUGUAUGCGCCAAUGCAUGUGGCGCAUGCUCUUUUCAUAUAUAAUAAAUAUAAUAUAUAUAAUAUAUAAUAUAAUUAUAUAUUAUUAUAUAUAUAAUAUAUUAUUUAUAUAUAUAAUAUAUAUAUAUAUAUAUAUAUAUAUAUAUAUAUAUAAUAAUUUUAAAUGUUAUAAUUAUAAUUAAUUAAAUGAAAUAUUGAAAAUAAAAAUUAUAUUAUAUUUAAUAAAAAAAUUACAUAGAAUUGACAAGAAAUUCAAUGACUCGCCCGAUUGAAACGCCCCCAGAUCCAUAGUAGUGAAUCGUAUAAUUGGUGUUUUUGCUGUCCAAACUGCAUCAUCAUCAUGGUUAACCUGAUGAUCAAGACCCAUAUAUGGCCUCCAGAUAAACUGUACAAGAAUAUGACAUGAUUAAAUGAUAUGUAAUUGGAUAAUUUUUUUAAAUCAAAUGUAGAGUUGUGUAGUAGUAUUACAUCAUCUGAUCCAAUGUGGUCUAAUAUAGUUUGCGAUAGACUACUACAUCGUGUUUCGGGCACCUGUUGUAGUUCAUCCAUUUAACUGACCACCUUGAUCGAAAACAUUUGAAAAAUAUUAUUUACAGUUAGUUGUAACAUAAAGUCUAAUAAAUUAGAUGGUAAAAUUUUAAACUUACUUUGUUGCAAAGGGGAAUAUGAGUUACUGCCCGUUUACCGGGGCGAGUGACGACAUUCUUGACCAACCCCAUGCUUGACCAACUCCAUGGGUCCAGUUCACACAUGCAUGAUCACGAACCCAAUGCAAGACCAUCGCAAACUUAGCUCUCAGUUAAUAUGCGAUAAAAUUUUGUCUGUCAUUAACGAUAAUCCGUCGUUAAAGGUGAGUACAAUAAUCUCGCAUAUUGUAACACAAUACAACUAUACUCCAUCAUACAGGAAGGCUUAGAUAGCUAGGACAAAGGAGGUUGAAAAAGUGUAUGGCAAUUGAGAGGAGUCUUAUAAACAAAUUCCAAAAUACUUGGUGACUUUUAAACAGUAUGCUCCAGAGACUAUUGUCAAGUUGGAAACGUUGUCGGCGUAUACCCAAGACGGGACUUGUGCUAUUGAAAAUAGAAUAUUCCACCGAAUCUUAUGGACGUAUCAACCAUGCAUCAAAGAUUUUUCUUUCUGUGAACCUAUUAUACAAAUUGAUGGUACAUGGUUGUACGAAAAAUAUAAAGGAACACUACUGAUGGUAGUGGCACAAGAUGACAACAACAUGAUUUUCCCAAUUGCUUUUCCCCUAGUUGAAGGGGACACUGCUGAGGGAUGGAGUUUUUUCCUAAAAAAUCUCCGAUUGCACGUUGCUCCUCAACCUAACUUAUAUUUGAUCUCUGACCGACACCCUUCAAUAGUGAGUGCCUACAAAAACAUUGAUAAUGGCUGGCAGGAUCCUCCGUCGACGCAUGUCUACUGCAUUAGACAUAUCGCUCAAACUUUUAUGCGGAAGAUCAAAGACAAACGUUGCGGAAGAAAGUUGUCAAUGCAGGGUAUGCAUUAACAUAACCUUCUUUCAAACACUACUGUGAAGACAUCAGAUUGUCAAAUGCAUAUGCAAUACGGUGGAUCGACAAUAUUCCAUUGGAGAAGUGGACUAGGGUAUAUGGAAACGGUCAACGUUGGGUCCACAUAACAACAAAUCUCGUGGAAUCAAUGAACUUUGUCUUCAAAUGCAUCCGACACCUACCUAUAAACGCUUUAGUGCAAACAACCUAUUUCAGGCUAGGGGCGCUGUUUGAGACCAAACAUUCCAAAUUGAGUUCAGUGUUACAAUUUGGGCAGUUGUUCAGUGAUGAUUCAAUGAAAUUCAUUAGACACGAAGAUGCCAAAGCUAACACACAUGUGGUCACGGUGUUUGGCCGUACUAAAGGUUGGUAAAAUGUUACUGAGUCCAUAGAUCACAAUGAAGGCAUACUUAAGGGACAAUAUAGAGUGAAACUAGAUAGAGGUUGAUGCGAAUGCGGAGAGUUCCAAGCCUUUCGUAUGCCCUACUCCCAUGUCAUAGCGGCAUGUUCAAAUGUUCGACGGGAUCCAUCCUACUUACUAUCCGACGUUUACAAAGUCAUAAACCUCUCAAAUGUUUACAAAAUUAGAUUUUCAGUGAUAGCAAAAGAGGAUUAUUGGCCUGAAUAUCAAGGGGACAUUCUCUAGCACAAUGAAGUAAUGCAAAGAAAGAAAAAGGAUCAUCCAAACAACACCCGUAUUCGAACCGGAAUGGAUACAGCGAACAAAAUGGUUCAAUUAUGUAGUUCAUGUCGUCAGCCUGGUCAUAAUCGUACUAACUGUCCCAGUGUUGGAACAAGCAUAACAAGAUAAUUUUAAUUGUAUCUCUUUUGAUUUAUAUUAAAAACAACAUUUAUUUCAUAUGAUAACUUUGUAAGAAAAUACCAUCACAAACAAAUACAACACAUUCAACACACAAGCAACAACACAACAGACUACAACAAAUAAAAUACCAUUACUAUAACUAUGCGAUUACAACCAUCAAAACAAUUUUGAACAUAUUAUACAUCAUCCUGUGAACGUCUCUAUCAGUCUUAAUAUCCACCCAUACACGAACUUCUCCAUUUUGGUUGAACGUGGACUCAAGUCAUUUAAUUCUUCUAAUCCUUUCACCCUCUGCAAUUGCUCCAUCUAACCAAUGGUUCAACGUUCGAUUAAGACGUUCGAACGAUUCUAUAUUCCAAAGUCGAAUCUUUAUCGAAGGUUGCACUGCUGAAAAGAUUAAAUCGCCAUUUCUCAUGUGAAUGUAUUCAGACAUGAUUAAAGAAAACAAAAUUGAAGGAGAUUGAAGAAAUUGAAGGAAACGGAAGGAGGGUAAGAAGUUGUCUGAAAAAAUAUGGGAGAUGCGCAUGGUAUUUAUAGAAGAACCAAAGUAUGCAUGCACCAAUGCACUAGGCUCCACACACACUAACACAUGCAUGCAUCAAUGCAUGUGGCAUACACACACAUGCAUGCGCCAAUGCAUGUGGCACCUACAUGCAUUGGUUUUGCAUGCAUGCGCCCACAACACUACGCCAAACAAGACCUUAGACAGCGCUUUUUUUGGCCUUAGACAGCGCUUUAAAGCGCUGUCUAAACCUCCGCUGCUAAAGGUUUAGACAGCGCUUUUUUAAAUCUUAAAAGCGCUGUCUAAGCCCCCCCCUUAGACAGCGCUUUGGCCAAAAGCGCUUUCUAAGACCCUCCUAUUUUAAUUUUUUUAGGUAACCUUAGACAGCGCUUUUGGCCAAAGCGCUGUUCUAAGGGGGGGGGGGCUUAGACACGCUUUUCAAAAAGCGCUGUCUAAGCCCCCUCUAUUUUAAUUUUUUAGGUAUACCUUAGACAGCGCUUAAGGCAAAGCGCUGUCUAAGGGGGGGGGGGCUUAGACAGCGCUUUUCAAAAAGCGCUGUCUAAGCCCCCCCCUUAGACAAGCGCUUUUGCCUUAAGCGCUUCUAACCCCCUUUAGACAGCGCUUUUUACAAGAGCGCUGUCUAAUGUAUACGAAAUUUUGAAGCUUUUGUUUUAAACCACAUUUUCCAGGUUUAUAAACCAGAAUUUCUACCUGUUUUCACCCAGAUUUUGACAGACAGUUAUCACAUUUUAUACAUGCCAUUUUGGCCUUUUUCUACAUUUUUGGCUAACAAAUAUAUAAUAUAACAAUUCAAACAAUUUUGCCUUAAAUGUAUCAAAUAUAUACAAAUUUAUGUACACAUUUACAAGUCAUUACAUAUACUACAAAUGUACACAUUAAUUACACAAAUUUAUGAAAAAACUUGAGCUCUAUCAUGAAUUGACACCACUCCUCUUUGAUUUCGUCCACUUGAUCCUUUGUAUAAAAUGCACACUUGAUUCCUCAAAGUACUACAUAAUAAUAUAACAUAUUUUGAAUUAAUUCCAACUAUUUAAUUAUAUGAGAUAUGUGUAAAUAUAAAAAUAUCAUAAGUUAGAAAUACAUACAUCGGUGGGAAUCACUAAUCGCCAAAGCAAGAGUAUCUCGCAUAAACCUCAACAGCGAAAUACCCGCAAUCUAUUUGAUUACGUUGUGAGGACACUACAUGAAAAAAAAA
rnacentral:lncRNA from 1 species